rnacentral:misc_RNA from 1 species
GGCAUAUAUUUUGAAUUGGGUUUGUUGGUUUGAGUUUAAAUGGUAAUCCUUUUUGCCAAUAAAAUUGCUUGCUAAAGAUAAAAAUAAAUAAGGCAUGCCUUUCUAGAACCUUGAGCCUAGAACAAAGGCACUCACCUAGGCGCAUAGGCACUAGGAUUCAAGCAUAGUGAGCCUUGAGCCUGAGGCUCGCCUUUAAUAACUAUGUUUCACACAAAUGGAAUACAGAAUAUAACUAAUAAAAAAACCAUUGACCAGUGAUCUUUCAUAAGAAUGAAAAACAGGUACUUGAUACAAUUCUUAUUAAAUGUUCAAAGGAAAGGAUCGAAACAUAAACUAUCACCACCACUAGCCAUCCCUCUCAUACAUGAGAAUAUAGAUGUGACAUAGAACCAAAGAACACUCAAAAGGGAAAAGAACUGAAAUUUCAAAAUUGAUUAAUUCUCAAUUGUCAAUAAUAUGAAGCUCUGCAAAAAUACCUAGAUUGCAUAGCUAUUUAUAAUAUCUCAAAAUAAGAAAUACUAAACAAACACUAAUUAAGAAUUCCGAACCAACUCAAAUUUCCUAAAUAUAAUAAAAUACUUCCUAAACAAUAAUAGAAUUAUUAAACUUCAUAAUAGUAAAAAAAUCUAAACUAAAAAUCUCAACUUUACAAUUAAAAAUUAUAUAAAAAUAAUUUCUAAAUUGAAGUUUCCUUGACUGCAUCACAAAGGUUCUUAUUGUCAACUUUACAUGCUUAGCAUAGGGGAUGCAAUGUAAGGAGAUAGUUGGGCUGACAUGGUAGAGUAAGAUGAAAAUGUGCAAGACCAAUGCCUUAGUAUUAUAGCUCCCAUCAAGAACAACAUAUAAAAUAUUUACAAUGGGGACACCCAUUAGAACCAUGGUAAUGCUCAAAACAUUUUUCAAAUGGAAGUUAUACUUGUAAUUUAAAUGCUUAUCUUUCUUUACUUUCCUAGUUUUUUCUCCAAUUUGAGAGAAAACUAUAAUUGUCCUAAUCUCUCUCCACUUCUCUCAUUUUCCCUCCUCUUAAUUCUGAAACAAAGUCAACUUAAAGUCACUUAUACUCAUUUCACUAACUUCUCUCAAACUCAAGAAACUAUAACUUGUAAAGGAUA